GGCUCCGUGGUGAAAUGGAUAUCACGGACCCCUCCUAAGGGUCAAGUACAGGUUCGAUUCCUGUCGGGGCCGCCA
rnacentral:tRNA from 4 species